rnacentral:rRNA from 1 species
AGGGUUUGAUCCUGGCUCAGAGUGAACGCUGGCGGCGUGGAUUAGGCAUGCAAGUCGAGCGAUCGCGUGCCGAUUCUAUAGUGGUAGUAAUACUAUUGUAGAUAGGUACAUGAUAGCGGCAAACCGGUGAGUAAUAUGUGGGUAACGUACCUUAAGGAGGGGGACAGCUUCGAGAAAUCGGAGGUAAUACCCCGUACGUUCCGAUCUUCAAAGAGGGUCGGAAGAAAGAUGGCCUCUACUUGUAAGCUAUCACCUUUUGAGCGGCCCACAUCCUAUCAGGUAGUUGGUGAGAUAAAAGCCCACCAAGCCAAAGACGGGUAGCUGGCGUAAGAGCGUGGUCAGCCACAUCGGGACUGAGACACCGCCCGGACUCCUACGGGAGGCUGCAGUCGAGAAUCUUUCCCAAUGGACGAAAGUCUGAGGAUGCGACGUCGCGUGGGGGAUGAAGGUUUUCGGAUCGUAAACCCCUUUUAUUGGAGAGGAAAUUCUAUUUUUCAAAUAGAGAAGUAGAAUUGACUGUAUUCGGUGAAUAAGCCACGGCUAACUCCGUGCCAGCAGCCGCGGUAAUACGGAGGUGGCAAGCGUUACUCGGUUUGAUUGGGUGUAAAGGGUCCGUAGGUGGCCAGGUAAGUGAAAGGUGAAAUCCUUCUAUUUAACAGAAGAACGGCCUUUCAUACUGCUUGGCUUGAGGCUGGGAGAGGAGAGUGGAACUGCUAGUGGAAGGGUGAAAUCUGUGGAUAUUAGCAGGAACGCCUGUGGGGAAGCCGGCUCUCUAGUCCAGACCUGACACUGAGGGACGAAAGCUAGGGGAGCAAACAGGAUUAGAUACCCUGGUAGUCCUAGCUGUAAACGAUGGGCACUAGGUGUUUGUCCGUAAGGAUGGGUGCCGAAGGUAACCCGAUAAGUGCCCCACCUGGGGACUACGGCCGCAAGGCUAAAACUCAAAGGAAUUGACGGGGGCCCGCACAAGCGGUGGAACAUGUGGUUUAAUUCGAUGCUACGCGAGGAACCUUAUCCAGGGUUUGACAUGCUGGAAGUAAUUUUGGUGAAAGCCAGAAUGACCUGUAACCAAUCAGGUACUAGCACAGGUGCUGCAUGGCUGUCGUCAGCUCGUGCCGUGAGGUGUUCCCUUAAGUGGGAGAACGAGCGCAACCCUCGCCCUUAGUUGCCACUUCUGGUGUUUACACUAGAAAGCACUCUAAGGGGACUGCCCGCGUUAAGUGGGAGGAAGGUGGGGAUGACGUCAAGUCCGCAUGGCCUUUAUGCCCUGGGCUACACACGUGUUACAAUGCCCGCUACAGAGGGAUGCCAAGUCGUAAGGCGGAGCAAAUCCCAAAAAAAGCAGGCUCAGUUCGGAUCGAGGGCUGCAACUCGCCCUCGUGAAGCUGGAAUCGCUAGUAAUGGCGUAUCAGCAAUGACGCCGUGAAUACGUUCCCGGGCCUUGUACGCACCGCCCGUCAAGCGCUGAAAGUGAGUGGCGCCCGAAGCCCCGAUUUUCGGGAUCACGGUGAAAUUCAUGAUUGGCGCUAAGUCGGAACAAGGUA